UGCCCAGCAACUCCAAUCUCUACCUCUUCGUGGUACUGGCCGGGGAACGAGCAACCUUAGGAAAAAUCGGGUAGACAACCCCGGUGGGGUGUAUGCUGACAGGGAAGG
rnacentral:ribozyme from 1 species